AGAGAAAUUUGGAUUAAUACCUCAUAAUAUUGUGAUUUGGCAUCAUUUCACAAUUAAAGCUUCGGCGGUUAAAGAUGAGCAUGCGUCCUAUUAGUUAGUUGGUAAGGUAACGGCUUACCAAGACAGCGAUAGGUAGGGGGCCUGAAAGGGUGAUCCCCCACACUGGUACUGAGACACGGACCAGACUCCUACGGGAGGCAGCAGUGAGGAAUAUUGCGCAAUGGAGGAAACUCUGACGCAGCCAUGCCGCGUGCAGGAAGACGGCCCUACGGGUUGUAAACUGCUUUUAUAUAGGAAGAAACCCCGAUACGUGUAUCGGCUUGACGGUACUAUAUGAAUAAGGACCGGCUAACUCCGUGCCAGCAGCCGCGGUAAUACGGAGGGUCCAAGCGUUAUCCGGAUUUAUUAGGUUUAAAGGGUCCGCAGGCGGGAUUUUAAGUCAGUGGUGAAAGCCUACAGCUCAACUGUAGAACUGCCAUUGAUACUGAAAUCCUUGAGUGUGGUUGAAGUGGGCGGAACAUGUCAUGUAGCGGUGAAAUGCAUAGAUAUGACAUAGAACACCAAUUGCGAAGGCAGCUCACUAAGCCAUUACUGACGCUGAGGGACGAAAGCGUGGGGAGCGAACAGGAUUAGAUACCCUGGUAGUCCACGCCGUAAACGAUGAUCACUCGUUGCUAGCGAUACACUGUUAGUGACCAAGCGAAAGUGUUAAGUGAUCCACCUGGGAAGUACGUUCGCAAGAAUGAAACUCAAAGGAAUUGACGGGG
rnacentral:rRNA from 1 species